rnacentral:rRNA from 1 species
UACGUAGGGGGCAAGCGUUGUCCGGAAUCAUUGGGCGUAAAGCGCGUGUAGGCGGCCCGGUAAGUCCGCUCUGAAAGUCACAGGCUCAACCUGUGAAAGCGGGUGGAUACUGCCGGGCUAGAGUCCGGAAGAGGCGAGUGGAAUUCCUGGUGUAGCGGUGGAAUGCGCAGAUAUCAGGAGGAACACCAACGGCGAAGGCAGCUCGCUGGGACGGUACUGACACUGAGGCGCGAAAGCGUGGGGAGCGAACAGG